ensembl:lncRNA
GUACGGGAUUGGAGGGGGAACACCUGCACGGGGGGCCGGGAGGAGCGGGGCUGCGUGCCCGGGCUGUGCGCCCCACGCCGGGAGCGGCUCGUUACCUGCUGCUGCUCCGCCAAGGGAGGGGCGAGGCCCUCACCUGCCCCCCGCUGCCCCCGCCCUUCCUCCUCCUCAGCCCCCCCAGGGCCGGGACAGCGCUGCCGCUGGGCGCCCGCGGCCUCACACGCGUGGGCCCCGUCAGCCACACGGCUCCCUCAGUUGAAACCGAGGAGCUUUGGCAACUUAAAUCCACAGUACUGUCAGCAAAAUGCUUAAUCUCUGCUAGACCUGAGGUUAGCGCCUUCCUCAAGCAAAUGGGAUAAGGAAGAGCCGGUGUGAAAUCGAGAAGAGGGCCCCACAUGAUUGAUCACCACACGCAUCAGAAGGAAAUGAUUCACCACAACACUGCAACCGAAACUGCUUCAACACCUGAUUGCAAACUUCGCGCUGGGGGACUAAUUAACUGCUCUACCUGCUCCAGGAUUUCGGUAACACACAGGACGCCUCAUCUCCUCCAAUUCCAG